rnacentral:rRNA from 1 species
UACAGAGGGGGCAAGCGUUGUCCGGAAUUACUGGGCGUACAGCGCGCGCAGGCGGACCGCCACGUGCCGUGUGACAAGCCACUGCUCAACAGUGGAGGGCCAGGGUACACGAGCGGUCUGGAGGCAGGGAGAGGGAUGUGGAAUGCCCGGUGGAGCGGUGAAAUGCGUAGAGAUCGGGCGGAACACCAGCGGCGAAGGCGGCAUCCUGGUCCUGUUCUGACGCUGAGGCGCGAGAGCGUGGGGAGCGAACUGG